rnacentral:sRNA from 1 species
GCUGGGUGUGGUGGUGCGCACCUGUAAUCCCAGAAGUUCAGGAAACUGAGGCAGGAGAAUCAUGAGUUCAAAGCCAAAGUGCCUUGCAAAAGCAAGGCACUAAGCAACUCAGUGAGACCCUGUCUCUA